AUGGCGGUUGGACAAAGGGUGUUGAGGAGAGAGUGGAGGAUAGAGCAGAGGACGAGGGAUCAUCUUCACCUCUUCGUGAUCACAGAGCAUCCCCAGAUAUUUAGUUCAUAUCUGAUCACGAGGUUGGUCCUUCAGAGUCUGUGAGGAGGCAUGCUUCAGUUCCACAGUCAGAGGGCAGGGCACAUCUUUCAGAGUUCAGACUAGUAGAUGAUCAGAUUAAGAUGAUGUCCCAGUGUGUUGCCUCCAUUCUAUCUCA
rnacentral:lncRNA from 1 species